UACGUAGGGGGCGAGCGUUGUCCGGAUUUAUUGGGCGUAAAGAGCGUGUAGGCGGUUUGGUAGGUCCGCUGUGAAAACUCGAGGCUCAACCUCGAGACGCCGGUGGAAACCAUCAGGCUAGAGUCCGGAAGAGGAGAGUGGAAUUCCACGUGUAGCAGUGAAAUGCGUAGAGAUGUGGAGGAACACCGAUGGCGAAGGCAGCCCCCUGGGCUAACACUGACGCUCAUGCACGAAAGCGUGGGGAGCAAACAGG
rnacentral:rRNA from 1 species